AAGUAAAAAUCAGUUUACUUUUCUCUGGAAGUUAUUAUAUUUUUUAUCAUUCAGUUGACCAUCUAUCUUUUUGACAUUUAUUUAUACAAUUUAUGUAUAAAAGUGAAGCUUGGCACUGAAUUUCCAUUUUUGAUUUGGCAUCAUAAAAGAUAAUGCCAAUGCUAAGAGUGUACUAAAGCUGAAGAACAGUACUCCAACUAUACUGACAAAGUCAAAAUGCUUAUCAGUGCUUCAUAUCAUAAACUUCAGGAAGGAAAGGAAGAUAUGGGAGACAGAAGAAGGAAAAGAAAAUAUUCAAAGUUAAUGACUGCAAAGACAGACCUUUGAAGAUUUAA